UUAACUUGAAAUGAUGAGUAAGAGCAGAAUGACCUUUGCUGAUCAAAUAUAGAAGCAGAAGAGGUCCCCCAGGUUGUGGAGAGUGAGAAAUCGCUCAGUGUUCUCAGGCACAUCUACGUGCCUGCAGGCCUGCCGCUGCCUGUGAACCUCACGAGCUCUGGAAGUCACUGACCUGGGUGAGACUAGAAUGUCUUGUCUCUGCAGAAACUCCAUCACAGGAAGCCUGUUACUAGUUCAAAGUGACAUAGUUUGAAUGAUAACCUAUAUAGUUUCCCAAUCCAAGAGUGACCCAAAAAUAUAUGAUACUAGGUUGGAAAUUUCGUCUACAGAUGGGAAGAACAAGUGAAUCUGUCAAGCACAAAGAGGAGAAGGAGUUGUUUUUUUGUACUAUGAAAACUAACAGGAAACUGGAAACAAAGAAGAAGUAAUAUUUUCUUAUCCUAUUGUUACAAAGAGAUAUCAAGAUUUAUAUGGAACCUACGUGACGAUUACAACCAAGAUUCUGGUGACCAAAAAGGAUGAAGUCAUUCUCUCCAUAGAGUUGAUCUCUUAACCCCUGAGUGAGGCAAAUCUCCGAUUAAUAGGCCCCUCAGGAUGGUGAGAUUCUGGAUAACCUUGGAUGCCACAUGUUGAAGGUACCAAAUGCUCUAUCAGUCUAGGGGUUAACACUUGACCUAAACUAUUACAUUACCAAUGUUUGGGUUAUUACAACUGGCCUAGUUGUUAAAGUAGUUUGGAUGACCCUAGCUAAAUGGGAAUGUAGUAAAAUAUUUUAAUCUGGGUUGUAUCGUAAUCAUGUUUAUAUUUUAUAACUACCUUUGGCAGCAAUGAUAAGGAUGGGUGGAAAUCACUUAGAAGGCUAUUGUAAUAAUCAGAUUUGAUAAGGACCUGGACUAAGGAAGAUGGAGGAUUAUAACUGGUAAAGGGAAGUUAGUUUCUUUCUUUCCUUCUCUCUGAUUUUAUUUAUUAGCGAGAGAGCGAGUGAGAGAGAA